UUGCUUUGAAAGUAUAUUUAUUAAAAACUUGAAUUAUACAGAGAUGAUUAGCAUGACCCAUGUAUAAAGAUAACACAAACUCGUGAAGCAUUUCAUACUAAA
ensembl:snRNA U6 U6 spliceosomal RNA